GAUGAACGCUAGCGGCAGGCCUAACACAUGCCAGUCGAGGGAGGAGCUUUCGGGCUUCGACCGGCGUACGGGUGCGUAACGCGUAUACAAUCUGCCUUUCACAUAGGGAUAGCCCGAAGAAAUUUGGAUUAAUACCUAAUGGUAUAUAGGAGUGGCAUCACAUUUAUAUUAAAGCUGAGGCGGUGAAAGAUGAGUAUGCGUUCUAUUAGCUAGUUGGAGAGGUAACGGCUCCCCAAGGCGACGAUAGAUAGGGGUUCUGAGAGGGAUAUCCCCCACACUGGUACUGAGAUACGGACCAGACUCCUACGGGAGGCAGCAGUGAGGAAUAUUGGACAAUGGUCGGAAGACUGAUCCAGCCAUGCCGCGUGCAGGAAGACGGCCUUAUGGGUUGUAAACUGCUUUUGCAGGGGAAGAAUAAGGACUACGAGUAGUUUGAUGACGGUACUCUGCGAAUAAGCAUCGGCUAACUCCGUG
rnacentral:rRNA from 1 species